AAGAACCCAAAUCAAACCUGUCUAAAUAUUGUCGAUGCUCUAAACUGGAAAUAAGGCUAUAUAUAUGUCGAUGGCAACAAGGAAGGUGUCGAGCAACGCACCUCUAGGAUUAGAAUAGAUUUAGAUUAUUUUUAAAUCGUUCGUGUCUAUCUAGGAUUUAGAGAGGGUUCACGAGGAAUUGAAAAAGGGGUGUAUUUGUGUUAUCGUAGCUUGGCACUCUAAAUCUCAUGCAUUCUCAUUUUUCCAGAUUUGCAUUGCGCAUCUUGACCAGCUUUCCUCAUCGGCAUGUGUAUCCGAUAUUACAUGUUUGAUGGUUCUGUUUCUUGUGGCUUUUCAAUUUACUUUCAAGUCCUUUUCCUAAUUCACGUUUGGUUUGGAAUGGUUUUGUUUAUAAUUCAAGCCCUGUGUGGCUUCUAGCUUUUAAUUAUAAACUUGGAUUUGUAAGAAUACGUUUGAUUUUUAUAAAAAGGUUCGUGAAGGAAGUUCUCCAA